rnacentral:rRNA from 1 species
AGUGAACGCUGGCGGUAUGCCUAAUACAUGCAAGUCGAACGACAGCACAGUAAGAUCGUGCUCCUACGGUUAGCGACGGACGGACGGGUGAGGCGUACAUCGGAAUCCUCUUUGUCGGGGGGGACUACGGAGAGAAAGUGAUGCUAAUAGCGCAUAUGUCCUACGGCUUGAAGCAGUGGUUAUUCGGGCCUUUGGUGAUUCAAAUAGACGAGGUCGGAUUAGCUAGUUGGUUUGGUAAAGUCACACCAAGGCAACGAUACGUAGCUGGUCUGAGAGGAUGAUCAGCCACACUGGAACUGAGACACGGUCCAGACUCCUACGGGAGGCAGCAGUGGGGAAUCUUGGACAAUGGGCGCAAGCCUGACCCAGCCAUGCCGCGUGAGUGAAGAAGGUCUUCGGGUCGUAAAGCCCUUUUGUUAGGAAAGAACAGAUGUAGGUUAAACCCCCGCUGUUCUGACGGUACCCAAAGAAAAAGCCACGGCUAACUUCGUG